AUGAGUAAAGAUAAGAGAGAGAAUGAUUGGAUAACGAGUGGCAGUGAAUGGUUACAAAAUGAGAAACACAAAAUGAUUGGAUAAUGAGUAGCAGUGAAUGGGUAGAGAAUGAAACAUAGAGAGUGACUGGACAGUGAGUAGCAGUGAAUGGGUAAAGAAUAAGCCCACAGCAAUGAGGUUGGGACAGGUGAUAGUGGCAAUGAAUGCAUACAGAAGGAAACACAGAGAAUGACUGUAAAGUAAUUGGCAGUGAAUAGAUACAGAAUGAGACAGAAAGAAUGAUUGGACAAUGAGUGGAAGUGAAUGGGUAGAGAAUGAGACAGACAGUGAUUGGACAGUGAGUGGCAAUGAAUGCUUAGAGAAUGACACAGAGAAAACAAUUGGACAAUGAGUGGAAGUAAAUGGUCAGAGAAUGACACACAGAGAAUGAUUGGACAAUGAGUGGAAGUGAAUGGUGAGAGAAUGAGAGACAAAGACUGAUGGGACAGUGAAUGGCAAUGAAUGCUGAGAGAUUGAAACACAGAGAAUGAUUGGACAGUGAGUGUCAAUGAAUGGGUAAAGAAUGAGAGACAAAGACUGAUUGGACAAUGAGUGGAAGUGAAUGGUGACAAAAUCAGACACAGAGAAUGAUUGGACAAAGAGUAACAAUGAAAGGUUACAGAAUGAGACACAAAGACUGAUUGGACAGUGAAUGAAAAUGAAUGGGUAGAGAAUGAGACAUGAAAUGAUUGGACACUAAAUGGCAGUUAAUAGUGAAAUAAUGAAACAUAGAGAAUGACUGGACAAUGAAUGGCAGUGAAUGGGUAGAGAAUCAGACACAGGCAAUGAUUGGUGACUGAGUGACAGUCAAUGCUUAGACAAUGAAACAGAGAGAAUGUUUGGAUACUGAGUGUCACUGAAGGGUUACAGAAUGAAGGACACAGAAUGAUUGAACGGUGAAUGAAAGUAAAUAGGUACAGAAUGAGACAUAAAAGCCAUUGGAGAAUGAGUGACAGUGAAUAGAUAGAAAAUGAAACACAGAGAAUGACUGGACAAGAAUUGGCAGUGAAGGGUUAGAGAAUAACAGAGAAUGAUGGGAAAGUGAGUGGCACUGACUGCUGAGAGAAUGAGACACAGACAAUGAUUGGACAGUGAGUGGCAGUGAAUAGGGAGAAAAUAAGACGUAAAAUGGUUGGACAGUGAGUGGGAGUUAAUAGUUAAAGAACGAAACAUAGAGAAUGAUUGGACAAGGAGUGGCACUAAAUGCUGAGAGAAAGAAACACAGAGAAUGAUUGGAUAACAAGUGGUAAUGAAUGGUUAUAGGAUGAGAGACAGAAUAAUUGGACAGUGAGUAGCAAUGAAUGGGUAAAGAAUAAGAUACAGAGAGUGAUUGGACAAGGAGAAGCAAUGAAUGGCUGCACAAUAAGACACAGAGAAUGACUGGAAAAUGAAGAGGAGAGAAUGGAUAAAGAGAGACAGAGAAUGAUUGGAUAAUGAAUGGCAAUGAAUGGGUAGAAAAUGAGACAGAAUGAUUACACACUAAAUGGCAGUUAAUAGUUAAAUAAUGAAACACACAGAAUGAUUGGACAAGGAAUGGCAAUGAAUGGUGAGAAAAUGAGACACGGAAAACAACUGGACAGUGAGUGCCAGUGAAUGGAUAGAGAAUGAGACACAGAGAAUGGCUGGACAAUGAGUAGCAUUGAAUGGAGAGAGAAUAAUACAUAGAGAAUGAUUGGACAAUAAAGGGCAGUGAAUGGUAACA
rnacentral:lncRNA from 1 species